CACUGCCACAAAACAACGACAACCCAGGACAGAGAACGUGAAACACGCACACGUCAGUUCAGGACUGUGUGUGUUUGAGUUUGAGAUUUAGUUUUCUGCGCGUGUGUGAAUGCGUGCGAGCACACGUCGUUGUGAACUGUGUGUGGCUGCACACGUGCACACACACACAUGCAUGGAUACUCUGGAAACAUACAGGGUGCUUUUCAUGCCAUAAAGUUCUCACCGAUCAGUGUUCCUAAAGGGACAGUUUGACAGGUUUUUUUUUUUUCGUUCAGAAAAAGAAAUGUGGACUUGUAUAAAGAAAUGACAAAAAGCCAGAACUGGGACCAGAAACCGAACUGAGACAUUGAUUCUGACUUUUCAUAAAAGCCCGACUGCCAGCAGGGACACAAGAAAUGGAAGUUUAGAUCUUUGACAAAAUCUUUACCUCAAAAUGGUGUCUGGGUUCCUACAUUGCUAUAUUCCAGUGUGUUAAUGUGUGCCUUUUAUUUUGAAAUUCUUUGUUUGGAUCUACAUUUAUAACACAGACGUAUUGAUUGGAACAGGAGAGGUAAAUGAACGAAAUUUAGCAUGU